rnacentral:rRNA from 1 species
UUGGAGGGCAAGUCUGGUGCCAGCAGCCGCGGUAAUUCCAGCUCCAAUAGCGUAUAUUAAAGUUGUUGCAGUUAAAAAGCUCGUAGUUGAAUUUCGGGGUUAGCAGGUUGGUCGUGCCACUGGUAUGAACUGGCCUUGCUGAUUCCUCCCUCUUGAUGAGCCGUAAUGCCAUUAAUUUGGUGUUGCGAGGAAUCAGGACUGUUACUUUGAAAAAAUUAGAGUGUUUAAAGCAGGCAAGCGCUUGAAUACAUUAGCAUGGAAUAAUGAAAUAGGACGUUUGAUCUUAUUUUGUUGGUUUCUAAGAUUGACGUAAUGAUUAAUAGGGAUAGUUGGGGGCAUUAGUAUUCAAUUGUCAGAGGUGAAAUUCUUGGAUUUAUUGAAGACUAACUACUGCGAAAGCAUUUGCCAAGGAUGUUUUCAUUAAUCAAGAACGAAAGUUAGGGGAUCGAAGACGAUCAGAUACCGUCGUAGUCUUAACCAUAAACUAUGCCGACUAGGGAUCGGAUGAUGUUAAUUUUUUAAUGACUCAUUCGGCGCCUUACGGGAAAC